rnacentral:rRNA from 1 species
UACAGAGGGUGCGAGCGUUGUUCGGAAUUAUUGGGCGUAAAGGGCGCGUAGGCGGUGCGGUAAGUCACCUGUGAAAUCUCCUGGCUCAACUGGGAGCUUGCAGGCGAAACUGCCGUGCUGGAGUGUGGGAGAGGUGCGUGGAAUUCCUGGUGUAGCGGUGAAAUGCGUAGAUAUCGGAAGGAACAUCAGUGGCGAAAGCGACUUCCUGGACCAGUACCGACGUUCAGGCACGAAAGCGUGGGGAGCGAACAGG